AAAGCAUUUGGUAGGGAGAAGGACUCUUCAAAUCAUGGAGAGAUGCGAUGCUUUGCAUGCACGUGCGAGACAUCCUUCUUUUUCCAAUUUCUUAUCUUCCCCAAAAAUUUUAAAAAAAUAUAUCUCAUGCUUUGAGAUAUGUAUCAAAGGAUGGAGGGUGAUGUGUUCUAUCGCACAUAAUUUUAAUCUCAUAAAAAAUAAUAUUUUUCUUCUGCCCAUGCCAACACUUGUACGGAGAACC
rnacentral:lncRNA from 1 species